UACGUAGGGGCAAGCGUUGUCCGGAUUUAUUGGGCGUAAAGCGCUCGCAGGUGGUCCGAUGCGUCGUGCGUGAAAGACCCCGGCUCAACUGGGGAGUGUCGUGCCGAUACGGUCGGACUGGAGGCCAGUAGGGGGAUGUGGAAUUCCGGGUGUAGUGGUGGAAUGCGUAGAGAUCCGGAGGACACCAGCGGCGAAGGCGGCAUCCGUGGAC
rnacentral:rRNA from 1 species